GUACUUAAGAGCUCUGCUUCUCCAGUUGCUGUGGGUGGAUGAAUACAUUAGCAUGUGACAUGCCCAGAGCUGAAGACAGACGAGUCUGUCACCACAGUUUGCAUAGUGAAAAGUGUGUGUGUGUGUGUGUGUGUGUGUGUGUGUGUGUGUGUGUGUGUGUGUGUGUGCGUGUGCACGUUUAAGCUGUAGUUGGCGCGAGAAUGAGUUACACUGAAGUGGGUUGAUUCUUUUCAAGCAUGUGUUAUGUUGAUGUGUUUAUAUCUGUGAGGAUGGAGUGUUUGUGUGUUUGGGGUUUACAUUGGCUUGGAUUGACUCUAUGUGUGUGUGUGUGUGUGUGUGCAGGGUCAGGAAGGCGGGUGGUGUUGAGGAAGUCUUCUGGCAUCGGGGCUUGCCUACCGUGCCUCGCUCCGUCUACACCCACAUACACAGCUGUGUACCACACAAUCCAAUCUUGCCAUAGGGUUACACACACGUGUGCACACACACACAUAGAAACAAGACCAAGUUCAGCCGCAGCCACCAUUACAACCUUCUUCACGCCACUGAACAGCUUCCCGAGCCUUUUUCAGAUGAAAAAAAUUGUUUGAAAUGGGAAUGAAAUCAUCGCACAAGCUCCACAUUCGGCAACAAACAGCCCUCCAUUACAUCCAAGCAGACACUUUGCUUUUCUGUUGAGCGGUUCAUCGAUUGCCUGCCAUAGGGCACGAGGAGCUCUCUGGGAGCCCGCUGUAAUAUCUGUAUCAGCCUCUCCAGUCAGGGUGAACCAUCCCAUUCAGAGCGACUCUCAGGGCUUCCAUGGCAAUUUACUCUCACGACUACACAAAAGAGUCCUCAGAGUCCUCAGAGACCUCGCCAGAUAGACAACUGACAACUAACAGCAUCUUACGAAAAAAUAACACUUUAUACUAUUUCCUAACACAGUGAGUGCGGUAGCUCCACAACAACAACAACAACAACAACAACAGCGGCGGUAGCGGUGGCAGCAGCAGCAUGCCGAAUGCUGAAUGCAUCCAUUUUAAUAAACACAUGCCUAUUUGAUGUGAUAAGCAGGAAGUAGUGAGAAAUGAAUUAUAUAAACACUGAUUUUAUGAACUUUUCAGAACUGCCUCGGGGGCUUUGCAGUACACUUGUCAGUUUAUUUGAAGUAUGUUUGCAAUUAUUGUAUUUGUUAACUCAUGCCAGUAUUUUUCACUUGACAUGUUGCUCUGGGCCAUUGACAUUAUUGAUUCAAAAAUAACAAUAUGGCUUCAGUCUGAACUCCAUUUGUGAGCAUAUUCAUAAAACAUUUACAUAUA